AGUGAACGCUGGCGGCAGGCCUAACACAUGCAAGUCGAGCGGCAGCGGGUUCCCGCGAGGGGAUGCCGGCGAGCGGCGGACGGGUGAGGAACACAUCGGAAUCUGCCUGGUUGUGGGGGAUAACGUAGGGAAACUUACGCUAAUACCGCAUGCGACCCUGAGUCGACGGACUGGGGGUGGAAGUAGAGGGACCGUUCGGCCGUCACGCGACCACGAUGAGCCGACUGUC
rnacentral:rRNA from 1 species